rnacentral:rRNA from 1 species
GCGGAAGGAUCAUUAUUGAAAUAAACCUGAUGGGUUGUUGCUGGUUCUCCAGGGAGCAUGUGCACACCUUGUCAUCUUUAUAUCUCCACCUGUGCACUUUUUGUAGACCUGAAAAGGUCUAUGUUGCUUCAUUUUACCCCAAUGUAUGUUAAUAGAAUGUUGUACCUAUAUAAUAUAUACAACUUUCAGCAACGGAUCUCUUGGCUCUCGCAUCGAUGAAGAACGCAGCGAAAUGCGAUAAGUAAUGUGAAUUGCAGAAUUCAGUGAAUCAUCGAAUCUUUGAACGCACCUUGCGCUCCUUGGUAUUCCGAGGAGCAUGCCUGUUUGAGUGUCAUUAAUAUAUAUCAACCUUCUCUCUUGUAGUGAGUGGUUUGGAUGUGGGGGUUUGCUGGCCUCUUUUAAAAAGGGUUCAGCUCUCCUGAAAUGCAUUAGCAGAACAACCUGUUCAUUGGUGUGAUAACUAUCUGCGCCAUUGAAUGUGAGGGGCAGUUCAGCUUUCUAACAGU